UCUCCAGCUUGCUGGGGGGAUUAGUGGCGAACGGGUGAGUAACACGUGAGUAACCUGCCCUUGACUCUGGGAUAAGCCUGGGAAACUGGGUCUAAUACCGGAUAUGACUCCUCAUCGCAUGGUGGGGGGUGGAAAGCUUUUGUGGUUUUGGAUGGACUCGCGGCCUAUCAGCUUGUUGGUGGGGUAAUGGCCUACCAAGGCGACGACGGGUAGCCGGCCUGAGAGGGUGACCGGCCACACUGGGACUGAGACACGGCCCAGACUCCUACGGGAGGCAGCAGUGGGGAAUAUUGCACAAUGGGCGAAAGCCUGAUGCAGCGACGCCGCGUGAGGGAUGACGGCCUUCGGGUUGUAAACCUCUUUCAGUAGGGAAGAAGCGAAAGUGACGGUACCUGCAGAAGAAGCGCCGGCUAACUACGUGCCAGCAGCCGCGGUAAUACGUAGGGCGCAAGCGUUAUCCGGAAUUAUUGGGCGUAAAGAGCUCGUAGGCGGUUUGUCGCGUCUGCUGUGAAAGACCGGGGCUCAACUCCGGUUCUGCAGUGGGUACGGGCAGACUAGAGUGCAGUAGGGGAGACUGGAAUUCCUGGUGUAGCGGUGAAAUGCGCAGAUAUCAGGAGGAACACCGAUGGCGAAGGCAGGUCUCUGGGCUGUAACUGACGCUGAGGAGCGAAAGCAUGGGGAGCGAACAGGAUUAGAUACCCUGGUAGUCCAUGCCGUAAACGUUGGGCACUAGGUGUGGGGGACAUUCCACGUUUUCCGCGCCGUAGCUAACGCAUUAAGUGCCCCGCCUGGGGAGUACGGCCGCAAGGCUAAAACUCAAAGGAAUUGACGGGGGCCCGCACAAGCGGCGGAGCAUGCGGAUUAAUUCGAUGCAACGCGAAGAACCUUACCAAGGCUUGACAUGAACCGGAAAGACCUGGAAACAGGUGCCCCGCUUGCGGUCGGUUUACAGGUGGUG
rnacentral:rRNA from 1 species